AUCUAACACAAACAGACCCAGAGAAAAAUUAAGCCUUGGGUUUGUUUGUUUUUUAGAUUUUGCAUUGAUAUGUUUGGUUACCAGUGAUGGAGAGGAAGGAAUUCACAGGGAGUUGCCAACAGAGUACAGCAAAGUUUGGGCUCUGAAAGGCACUACUCUGAAUAUCAUCAAACGGUUACCCUGUUGGAGGAGCUGCACCCUCCCACUAUCAAGAAACAAGCAGCCCCAGAUCAUUAGUCUGCCUGAAGGAGGCUCUGCACACUGCCAAGAAGAGGCCUAAGCUGAGAUGGUUUGGGGGCAGGUGGAAAGAACAGUCUGCACUUAACAUCUGCUUUAAUCCUGAAGAUAUCCCAUGAAAAGAGGCUAUGCUACUGCUGCAAAGAAUUUUUAUGAUUUUAACGAGGCAGUAUAUGGUGAGUGAUCACAAACAUGUUUGGAGAGCUAACACACGCUAUUCUUCAUCUUUUUAUGCUGUAGGUGAUACAGAUACACUCUGAAAUUCUAGUCUUUUGUUGUGAAAUAGGUAUUAUAAAUAUAUCAGCAUCUCAGCAUGAGACAUACAAACUGAAGAGCCAUAAUAGGAUUUUUGGAUUUUAGUCUAUGAAUGUUUAUACUGUAAUGAAGUAAGAUAAAAGGACACACUGCAGGAAGCACUGUGCUGCCAUCACAGGGUCUCCUACCCUUGCACUAAGCUUUGGACUGAUGGCUAAUAUCUUGACGUAUCCCAGGGUUUUGCUUAAAAAACAGUCUGUGCUUUCUGCUUCUCUGAUGUUGUACAAUUGCUUGUAUUCUUCAUUUUAUCACUUUGUUGUCUUAUAAGAAUCAGCAUUUAAACAAUUAGGUCUGUUAAUUUUUUCUGCAAUGUUACUUCCUAGGUGAAAAAAUGGCCACUUGUGACUGCACUGUUUUAGCUACAACUGUCAUCACUUCUGUUGUUUAGAAUUGGACAACUGAUUUCUCUUAAUUCUUUAUUUUUUGUCUUUUGAGUUUUAGGUAUAUCAAACAGUUUAACACAAUGCUUGUGUAUUCUCCACUACUGCAGUACUGAACUAGUUCAUAAUAAUUCCUGAUUUUCAUCCCUAAAAAAUUCUCCAUUAUCAUAUUAUAAAACCAUCUAAUUUACUUACCUAGGGAAUGAAGACGUAAGAAGAUAAAAUAUUACAUAUUACCAUUUAGAAAGAUGACAAAU
rnacentral:lncRNA from 1 species